rnacentral:rRNA from 1 species
CCUACGGGUGGCUGCAGUGGGGAAUAUUGGACAAUGGGGGCAACCCUGAUCCAGCCAUGCCGCGUGAGUGAUGAAGGCCUUAGGGUUGUAAAGCUCUUUCGUCAGGGAAGAUAAUGACGGUACCUGAAGAAGAAGCCCCGGCUAACUUCGUGCCAGCAGCCGCGGUACUACGAAGGGGGCUAGCGUUGUUCGGAAUUACUGGGCGUAAAGCGCACGUAGGCGGACAUUUAAGUCAGGGGUGAAAUCCCAGGGCUCAACCAUGGAACUGCCUUUGAUACUGGGUGUCUUGAGUACGAGAGAGGUGAGUGGAAUUCCGAGUGUAGAGGUGAAAUUCGUAGAUAUUCGGAAGAACACCAGUGGCGAAGGCGGCUCACUGGCUCGUAACUGACGCUGAGGUGCGAAAGCGUGGGGAGCGAACAGGAUUAGAUACCCCUGUAGUC